rnacentral:rRNA from 1 species
GAUCCAGCCCCAUGUCGCACGGAUUCGUCCCUCCCCC